CUGGCGCAAAGUGGACCGGCUCCAAAUGUUUUAGCGGUUUGGUGCUACAAGUUUCUGUGCAGUGGAUCUUUGAAAUUUGAAGACCUGGACAAAACUGCUCUGGGAGAUGACCAACAUAUUGAGCUUAUUUCCAAGUGCUGUUAUUCUCCAUGAAGCAACCCUGAAGCUGUUCCCAAUACUGCAGCAGGUAAGGAAUGGUUUGCAGCUGUAUGGGCUUUCUGAUCUAAUGGCCAAAUACCCUGAUAUCUGCCAGCCACUUUUCACCCCUGGGGUAGAAAUGAUUGUAAGUCCAUGUUUUUUUAUUCUAAAUUGACACAUUUUACUCAUUGAACCACUAAAUGUUGGUACUGCCUGGUACCAACAGAUGUGUUUAAAUAUUGUUUUUACUAUUGGUUAACUCUUAACUUGCGGUAUAUUCAGGAAAAUGUCAUGUAGAAAAACAAGUCUCUACAUUUUUUGUUUUACUAAUUCAUCUGAUUUAUUGUGUCAGGCUGAUGCAGACUUUGUCAUGUCAGUUUGCCGGGCAGAGUUCAGCGAGGAGGGGUCAAAUAAGGAACACCUGGAGGUGACCUUAAUGAACCACCUGCAAGAUUUACUUCAGGAACUGGAGCAAAGUCAUUAUUCUUUUUUAACCUGUAUUUUGUAGGGGGAAAUUAACCCUAUUGUGUUCAGUUCAUUAAUUGGUCAACUAAGACAAUGAAUUGUGUUAAUUAAUUAUCAGAGGUGGUAAAAAACACAGUCUUGUUUGAAUCCCAUGGGUCAUAGGGUUGCAUGAGGUCAGGGAUCUCCCGUGUUUGUCACAAAUAUUAAGAAACACAAAAAUAACACACAAUUAUUGACAGGAUAUUCAUAACAAGGUAAAUAAGGCAUUAAAUAAGUAUAAUGAAGAAGUAUGUGGAUAAUAGGAACAUGGAUUCACCUCAGAAUAGCAAUAAGGUUUACUAAGUUAUUCUGUAGGAAGAGAGCAGAGCUGAAAACUGCACCUGAAUGGAACAUAUGACCUAAACUAAUAUUAACAAGAAUAAAACCAGAACUAGAAAAGGCAAAGUUCCUGAACCAACUUUAAGUUGGCUUGGAAAAGUACGCUAAUAUCGUUGAAAAGUUGUUAAGUGUUUUCUAGGCAGUUGCUAUCUAAACUGGUUGCUAAGGUUUUCACAGACAGUUGCUAGUGUGGGUGGUGUGGUAUGUGUGUGGGGUGUGCAGUGUGGGGUGUAGUGUGUGUGUGACGUAGUGUGGCAUGUAUGUGGGGUUUAAAUGGUGGGGUAUGUGGUGUGAUAUGUGGGUUAUAUAAAUAUAUAUAUUUAAGGGUGUGAUUGGAGAUAACCACACCUUCACACUCUUAUUCUUAAUUGUUUUAUACAUUUAUAUAUACAGUUAUUAUUUUUACUGUUCACUUAAUAAUUUAGCUUUACGAUCUUUGCUCUAUUUUUAACUGUCACAAUGACACAAGGCUUUGGAGGUUGUUUGUACUUUUUCAGGAAUCAGGAAGGUCAGAGUGUUUUCAUCAACAGUGAGAGCUGUGAGGAGAACGUGACCCUGAGUGGCAGAGAAGCUUCACUGCUGUUCUGCUGUUCUGGGA